rnacentral:lncRNA from 1 species
AGGGGAGAAGAUUUGAGGUCGAGGGGAGAACGGGGAGGAGGUUUGGGGUCAAGGUGAGAAUAUUUGGGGUCGAGGGGGGGAAUGGGGAGAAGGCUUGGGGUCAAUCAGAGGAGUUUUGGGGUCGAGGGGAGAAUGGGGAGGAGGUUUGGGGUUGAGGGGAGAAUAUUUGGGGUCGAGAGGAGAUUUGGGGUCAUGGGGAGAACAGGCAGGAGAAGUCUUGGACACGAGGAGGAGGAGGGGCAGGAGAAGACUUGGGGUCAUGGGAGGGGGCAGGAGGAGGUGGGACAGGGCGGGACCUGACAGAAGGCUGGAUUUGGGGGUGGGGGGGGGUCCAGGUGGUGACCCCAAACCCCCCCCGGUGCCUCCCCCCAGGCCCGGCUGCGGCUGGUGGACGUGGUGGAGAAGGAGGACAUCAACGAGGCCAUGAGGCUGAUGGAGAUGUCCAAGGACUCGCUGCAGGGGGACAGGGGACAGCAGGGACGCCCCCCCCGGCCGUCGGAUGCCAUCUUCGCGGCGCUGCGGGAGCUGGCGGGNNNNNNNNNNNNNNNNNNNNNNNNNNNNNNNNNNNNNNNNNNNNNNNNNNNNNNNNNNGGGCGGGGGGCUGGGAACAGGUGGGGAGGGCUCCAGGGGUCUUCAGGGGUCUUCGGGGGGUGAUGGGGAGGGGCUGGGGGAGCUCCUGGGGGAGUGGGGUCAACCCAACGGCGUCUUCUUGGGGUUGGAGGAGGUCCCGUGGGAUCGCCGAGGGGGUGUGGGGGCGAUUGGGGACGUCCUACGGUGUCUUCGUGGGGUCAUGAGGGGUCCCAUGGCAUUUUGGGGGGGGCAUGAGAUGUCCCAUGGCGUGUUUUUGGGGUCAUGAGAUGUCCCACGGCGUGUUUUUGGGGUCACGGGGGUCCCAUGGCAUGUUUUGGGGGUCAUGAGAUGUCCCAUUGGAUUUUAGGGUCGUGGGAGGUCCUAUGGGAUCACCAGAGGGUGUGGGGACACUUGGGGACACCCCAGUGGCGUCUUUGUGGGGUCAUGAGAUGUCCCAUGGUGUCUUUUUGGGGUCAUGAGAUGUCCCAUGGCAUUUUUGGGGGUCAUGAGAUGUCCCAUUGGAUUUUUUGGGGUCGGAGGAGGUCCCAUGGGAUCUCCAGGUGCCGUGGGGCCAAUUGGGGACCCCCCCCACCCUCUCCCUUUUCCCUCCAGUUUCUUGUUCUCUGUUUUUUUAACCAAUAAACUGUUUUUUUAGGGUUUGUUCUGAAACUGGGGGUGCUGCUUCUUCCUUCCUGUGCCCCCCCCCCU